GCAGCCGCGCAGCCGCUGCUGUUGCGUGUAGUGCAGCCGCUACUGCUGCGAUCGUGCAGCCACGCAGCCGCCGCUGUUGCGUGCGGCACUCCUACUGAGAAGCGCAUGCAGUGCAGCCGCGGGCGUGCAGCUGCGCGCUGCUGCUGCGGGCGUGCAACCGCCGCUUCUGCGUGCGACCUUGCUGCUGCAGCGUGCAUGCAGUGCGACGCUGCUGCUGAGGCGUGUGUGCAGUGCAGCCACGCAGCCGCUGCUGCGGGUGUGCAGUGUGGUGCUGCCGCUGAGGCGUGCGUGCGGUGUAGUCCCCGUUGCUGCAUGUGGCGCUGCUGC
rnacentral:lncRNA from 1 species